rnacentral:tRNA from 1 species
UACUAAUUAGUUUUAUUAAAAUAAAAGUCUUGGGGACUUUAGAAAUUAAUUUUUUUAAUAUUGGUUA